GACAGGCUUAACACAUGCAAGUCGAGGGGCAGCACAGGUAGCAAUACCGGGUGGCGACCGGCGCACGGGUGAGUAACGCGUAUGCAACUUACCUAUCAGAGGGGGAUAACCCGGCGAAAGUCGGACUAAUACCGCAUGAAGCAGGGGCCCCGCAUGGGGAUAUUUGCUAAAGAUUCAUCGCUGAUAGAUAGGCAUGCGUUCCAUUAGGCAGUUGGCGGGGUAACGGCCCACCAAACCGACGAUGGAUAGGGGUUCUGAGAGGAAGGUCCCCCACAUUGGUACUGAGACACGGACCAAACUCCUACGGGAGGCAGCAGUGAGGAAUAUUGGUCAAUGGCCGAGAGGCUGAACCAGCCAAGUCGCGUGAGGGAUGAAGGUUCUAUGGAUCGUAAACCUCUUUUAUAAGGGAAUAAGGUGCGGGACGUGUCCCGUUUUGUAUGUACCUUAUGAAUAAGGAUCGGCUAACUCCGUGCCAGCAGCCGCGGUAAUACGGAGGAUCCGAGCGUUAUCCGGAUUUAUUGGGUUUAAAGGGUGCGUAGGCGGCCUUUUAAGUCAGCGGUGAAAGUCUGUGGCUCAACCAUAGAAUUGCCGUUGAAACUGGGGGGCUUGAGUAUGUUUGAGGCAGGCGGAAUGCGUGGUGUAGCGGUGAAAUGCAUAGAUAUCACGCAGAACCCCGAUUGCGAAGGCAGCCUGCCAAGCCAUGACUGACGCUGAUGCACGAAAGCGUGGGGAUCAAACAGGAUUAGAUACCCUGGUAGUCCACGCAGUAAACGAUGAUCACUAGCUGUUUGCGGUACACAGUAAGCGGCACAGCGAAAGCGUUAAGUGAUCCACCUGGGGGGUACGCCGGCAGCGGUGAAACUCAAAGGAAUUGACGGGGGCCCGCACAAGCGGAGGAACAUGUGGUUUAAUUCGAUGAUACGCGAGGAACCUUACCCGGGUUUGAACGCAUUCGGACCGAGGUGGAAACACCUUUUCUAGCAAUAGCCGUUUGCGAGGUGCUGCAUGGUUGUCGUCAGCUCGUGCCGUGAGGUGUCGGCUUAAGUGCCAUAACGAGCGCAACCCUUGCCACUAGUUACUAACAGGUGAUGCUGAGGACUCUGGUGGGACUGCCAGCGUAAGCUGCGAGGAAGGCGGGGAUGACGUCAAAUCAGCACGGCCCUUACAUCCGGGGCGACACACGUGUUACAAUGGCGUGGACAAAGGGAGGCCACCUGGCGACAGGGAGCGAAUCCCCAAACCACGUCUCAGUUCGGAUCGGAGUCUGCAACCCGACUCCGUGAAGCUGGAUUCGCUAGUAAUCGCGCAUCAGCCAUGGCGCGGUGAAUACGUUCCCGGGCCUUGUACACACCGCCCGUCAAGCCAUGGGAGCCGGGGGUACCUGAAGUCCGUAACCGCGAGGAUCGGCCUAGGGUAAAACUGGUGACUGGGGCUAAGUCAUAACA
rnacentral:rRNA from 1 species